UACGGAGGGGACUAGCGUUGUUCGGAAUUACUGGGCGUAAAGCGCACGUAGGCGGAUUGUUUAGUCAGGGGUGAAAUCCCGAGGCUCAACCUCGGAACUGCCUUUGAUACUGGCAAUCUCGAGUCCGGAAGAGGUGAGUGGAAUUCCUAGUGUAGAGGUGAAAUUCGUAGGUAUUAGGAAGAACACCAGUGGCGAAGGCGGCUCACUGGUCCGGUACUGACGCUGAGGUGCGAAAGCGUGGGGAGCAAACAGG
rnacentral:rRNA from 1 species